GCAUCCCAUAUGCAAUUGGCUUGUAGGGCAUAAUUCUUUCAGGGAAGGCCCCUUUAAAUAGGCAUAACAUUUGAAUCCUAUUCAAAACCAAAUAAUCACUUAAUACAACUCCUACUUGUAUUAGGAUUCCUUAUUCCUUUCAUUAUUUGACUCCUUUUAGGAGAUUUUUUUAGGCGCCAACUAUUGGAGCCUCUACACCUACAAAAACACACC
rnacentral:lncRNA from 1 species